rnacentral:rRNA from 1 species
UACGAAGGGUGCAAGCGUUACUCGGAAUUACUGGGCGUAAAGCGUGCGUAGGUGGUUUGUUAAGUCUGAUGUGAAAGCCCUGGGCUCAACCUGGGAAUUGCAUUGGAUACUGGCAGGCUAGAGUGCGGUAGAGGAUGGCGGAAUUCCCGGUGUAGCAGUGAAAUGCGUAGAGAUCGGGAGGAACAUCUGUGGCGAAGGCGACACCCUGGACCAGCACUGACACUGAGGCACGAAAGCGUGGGGAGCAAACAGG